AAUCAAAGUGACACAUAGAUUAUUAAUUAAAAACAUUAAAUUAAAUAAAAGAUAGUUACAAAAAAUAAAAACGCUAAUUUUAACGACGCUAACACUUCCGGCUAAACCCUAAAUCUUAAAUUCUAAACCCUAUACCCUAAAUUCUAAACUCAAAUCCAAACCCCUAUACCUUAAACCCUAAUCCUAGACCCUAAACCCAAAAACUAGACUAUAAACCUAAACUCUAUACCCUAAACCCAAAUCUUAGACCCUA
rnacentral:lncRNA from 1 species